rnacentral:rRNA from 1 species
CUUGCCAGGGGACUACGAGCCCCAGCUUAAAACCCAAAGGACUUGGCGGUGCUUUAGACCCCCCUAGAGGAGCCUGUUCUAGAACCGAUAACCCCCGUUCAACCUCACCCUCUCUUGUCUUUCCCGCCUAUAUACCGCCGUCGUCAGCUUACCCUAUGAAGGAUGUACAGUAAGCAGAAUUGGUAGAACCCAAAACGCCAGGUCGAGGUGUAGCGUACGAGAGGGGAAGAAAUGGGCUACAUUCACUGUACCAGUGAACAACGGACGAUGCCUUGAAAUAAACAUCUAAAGGAGGAUUUAGCAGUAAGAGGAGAAACAUAGAGUCCCUCUGAAACUGGCCCUGAAGCGCGCACACACCGCCCGUCACUCUCCCCAAAACAAACAUAAAUAUAAAUAAGAAAAAAAUAAAAAUAAAGGGGAGGCAAGUCGUAACAUGGUAAGUGUACCGGAAGGUGCACUUGGAAAAAC